rfam:Ascaris suum AG00354, whole genome shotgun sequence.
GCCGCCAGAGCUCAGUCGGUUAGAGCGUCGGUCUAACAAGCCCAAGGUCGCAGGUCCGACCGCCGCUGGCGGCA